rnacentral:lncRNA from 1 species
UCUAUUUGUAGGAGUAAAAUAAGGAUUAGGCUGUGGAGAGAUGGCUGAGUGGUUGAUAGCUCCGGUCUUGAAAACCGGUAUAGUUCUAGGAACUAUCGAGGGUUCGAAUCCCUCUCUCUCCUUUUGCUUAUUGAAUACGUUUGUUUCUUUCAUUUUUUUCCUGUCCCUUAUCUUUCUUUCAUAAAAAGGAAUGAAUGGCUCGGCUAGAUGGAAUAACCGAGCCAGAACAGAAAAAAAGUAGAACAGGUAUAAAUAAGAAAAUCUUAGUUAAGAGGGUUCAUGUAAAGAACAGGUUCCAAAUCACGAUCGAUUCCCUUUUCAAAACCUGCAGCAGCAGCUCGGGCUCUUCCUGCAUGCCAUAAAUGGCCCACAAAAAAGAAGAAUCCUAGAACAAAAUGAGAAGUUGAUAACCAACUUCUAGGAGAGACAUAAUUAACUGCAUUGAUCUCGAUAGCUACGCCACCCACGGAAUUUAAAGAGCCUAAAGGAGCGUGGGUCAUAUAUUCUGCUGAGCGUCGUUCUUGCCAAGGUUGUAUGUCUUUUUUCAACCUACUCAAGUCCAAACCAUUGGGGCCCCUUAGAGGUUCUAACCAUGGAGCACGAAGGUCCCAAAAACGCAUAGUUUCCCCUCCAAAGAUAACCUCCCCAGUUGGGGAACGCAUUAGAUAUUUACCUAAACCUGUGGGUCCUUGAGCGGAUCCCACAUUAGCUCCAAGACGCUGGUCUCUAACUAGAAAAGUAAAUGCUUGAGCUUGAGAAGCUUCUGGCCCGGUGGGUCCAUAAAACUCACUCGGAUAAGCUGUAUUAUUGAACCAUACAAAACAACAAGCGAUAAAACCAAAGACAGAUAAAGCAGCUAAACUAUAAGACAAGUAAGCUUCUCCAGACCAUACAAAUGCACGGCGAGCCCAUGCGAAGGGUUUGGUUAAAAUAUGCCAAAUUCCGCCAAGUACACAAAUAAAACCCAACCAUACAUGCCCACCAAUUAUAUCUUCUAAAUCAUCUACACUAACAAUCCACCCUUCUCCACCAAAAGGAGAUUUUAGUAAAUAACCAAAUAUAACACUAGGGCUAAGGGUCAAAUUGGUAAUUUUUCUUACAUCUCCCCCCAGGGGCCCAGGUAUCAUAUACACCGCCAAAAUAAAGAGCCUUGAGUACUAGAAGAAAAGCACCUAGACCUAACAAAAUUAAGUGAAUACCCAAAAUUGUAGUCAUUUUAUUUCUAUCUUUCCAGACAUAACCAAAGAAUGGAAAAGAUUCCUCAAGAGUCUCGGGUCCCAGAAGCGCGUGAUAAAUGCCACCGAAGCCUAAGACUGCGGAGGAAAUUAGGUGAAGUACGCCAGAUACAAAGUACGGAAAAGUAUCUAGAACUUCCCCCUGGCCCUACUCCCCAACCUAGAGUAGCUAAGUGUGGAAGUAAAAUCAACCCUUGUCCAUACAUGGGCUUUUCUGGUACGAAAUGGGCCACUUCAAAUAGGUUCAUUGCUCCGGCCCAGAAUACGAUUAAUUCGGCAUAGGCUACAUGAGCUCCAAGCAGUUUACCGGACAAAUUGAUAAGUCUGGCAUUCCCAGCCCACCAAGGAAAGCUGGUGGUUUCUUGGUCACGACCAGCUAAAAUGAAAGUUCCAUUAAAGAGCGUUUCCACGUGGUAGAACCUCCUCAGGGAAUAUAAGAUUUUCAUGAGGCUGAUCCUGAGCUGCCAUCCACGCACGAAUACCCUCGUUUAAAAGAAUAUUUUUGGUGUAGAAAGUCUCAAAUUCAGGAUCUUCCGCUGCACGGAUUUCCUGGGAAACAAAGUCAUAGGCACGUAAGUUCAGAGCCAAGCCAACUACGCCAAUAGCACUCAUCCAUAAACCGGUGACGGGUACAAAUAGCAUAAAGAAAUGUAACCAACGUUUAUUGGAAAAAGCAACACCAAAGAUUUGGGACCAAAAGCGGUUAGCAGUGACCAUGGAAUAAGUUUCUUCAGCUUGAGUUGGGUUAAAAGCACGGAAGGUAUUUGCACCAUCACCGUCCUCAAAUAGAGUGUUUUCUACGGUCGCUCCAUGAAUAGCGCAUAGCAGAGCCGCACCUAAUACUCCGGCAACUCCCAUCAUAUGAAAUGGGUUCAACGUCCAAUUAUGAAAUCCUUGGAAGAAAAGGAUGAAUCAAAAUAUCGCUGCUACGCCAAAACUCGGCACAAAGAACCAACCAGAUUGCCCCAGUGGAUAAAUAAGGAAUACAAAAACAAAAACAGCAAUUGGACCAGAGAAUGAGAUUGCAUUAUAAGGCCGCAAUUGAACAGACCGAGCAAGUUCAAAUUGGCGUAACAUGAAACCUAUUAGUGCAAAAGCCCCGUGGAGAGCUACAAAAGUCCAUAGACCGCCUAAUUGACACCAAGGAGUAAAAUCUCCUUGUGCUUCGGGCCCCCAUAGUAGCAACAAAGAGUGUGCUAAACUAUUGGCAGGGGUAGAAACUGCUGCGGUUAAGAAAUUACAACCUUCCAAAUAGGAACUAGCCAAUCCAUGGGUAUACCAAGAAGUUACAAAAGUUGUCCCUGUAAACCAACCCCCUAAAGCGAAAUAAGCACAAGGAAAGAGCAAUAGGCUAGACCAUCCUACAAAAACGAAACGGUCCCUUCGUAACCAGUCAUCCAUAGUAUCAAAUAGAUCAUUUUCUUCUUUAGGAAUUCUACCAAGGGAUAUAGUCAUAGUGAUCCUCCUAUUCAAUUACUUCAACCAUUUCCGAGCACCUCAUAUCACUUUCCAAGGCAUAUGAUAGUUUUAUUAUCUGUGGACGAUUUCUUUGUCGUUCAAUGCCCUUUUUCAAUGGUCUCGAAGAGAGAAAUUUCCCAUUUUUAUCUAUGGAGUCACAGUCACAACCGAGGUCGUGGUAAAUCCAUGAAUUUGAUUCGAUUUGUUUUUCUUAUACUAUAGAAAUAGAAAUAAAUUGUUUUUCUUAUACUAUAGAAAGAAAUAAACCUUUGAAUUCAGCAUUAUUCCAAGACUCCUAUUUGAAAGUCUAUCUUUUAAGGGAAAAAUGAAAAUAAAAGUAACCCUUCUUUUCCCAUUCCCUCUCUAUUGCAUGGGUGGAAGAACUAAAAUAGAGGAUUAUGAAAAAAAAUGGACCUUCGAAUUCCAAUUUAUGUGUAGCGCAAAGGAGUUGCGAUUUCUUCUUAUUCCUAUAGAACAUCUAGUAACAAGAAUAUGAAAUCGUAAAUAGCGAAAAAUUCUAGUCUUGCGCGGUCUAAGUCUAAGGAAAUAAAAAAAAUUCGCUUAUACAAUUUCAUCUACAUCGAAUUUAUAUAUCAGAAUAGCGGAUAGAGGCAUUAUUAAAGGAGUCAGGUCUACUUAGUUUAUGCUUCUUUACAAUUUUAUGGUGGAUUUGAUAAGAACCCUUUUUGCUUUCUUGAUAAAUAAUCGACAAAAAAAGCGUUUUUUUAUAUAACCUGCUUGUUUUAUUAUAAUUAUAACAAGUCCUAUAUGGAAAUGCUCGCUAAAGAGAAAAUCUAUUUGAUUUCUCUCGGCCAAUAUCGAUUUUUAGAAAAAAACAAGAAUUUUCUUCUUUUUUUAUUAACAUUAAGAAAAAAGAACAUAAUUAAAAUGGAAUUGGCAAUAUCAUAGACUUUUGAAAGAAAAAAAGGGGGUUUUUUGCAACCGUUAUUUCUUAUUUCUUGCCUAUAUCAUAUCACGGAAACCUUUCGCUUUGGAACAUGGAGAGAUGCCUGAGUGGACUAAAGCGGCGGAUUGCUAAUCCGUUGUACAAUUUUUUUGUACCGAGGGUUCGAAUCCCUCUCUUUCCGCUCCCUUGGAUCAUUUGGGACUUUCGAAUUGGAAAGAAUUCUGACCCCCGGAUUUUCUCAUAGAUAAAUGUACGAAACAAAUCCAAUAAGAAAAAAAAACUGAAUUUUUACUCCUCGCGUCCCGGAUUCCGUCCUGGGUCAUUAGAUAAGAAUCCAAAGAUAAAGAGUGAAACAAAGAAUAUCACUACUGUAUAAACAAAAAGUUUGAGAGUAAGCAUUACAUAAUCUCCAAGAUUUUUUUUAAGGAAUAGAUUACCAGUUUUUCCUUACCACACGGAUCCACUAGGAUGGUUUUUUUUAUACCUAAAAAUGCAAAAAAGAAUUCUUGAAAAAAAUUGCAAGAAUUCUUUUAUAAUAAGCACUCUUAUCAAUAGCAAAAAUAGGGUUAGGUGGUUAGGUAUUGUGUAGGUACCUUUAGGUACCUGCCCAACCUAGGUGCAGGGGAGUAGAAAGGCUGAUCCAAAUUUAUUGCUGUAGCUACCCAUUCAAUGUAGAAGAAUUUAAAUUUUAGAAUCAAAGGUUCAUAAUAUAAAAAUAUAAAACUUCUCGGCUUUUACCCAUUUUAAAUUUUUUUGGAAUGAACACAUCAUUCAAUUUGGCAUACAGAGUACUAAAGAUUUCAUCGAAAACUUACAGCAGCUUGCCAAACAAAGGCUAAUAGAAAAAAGAAUAGAGGUAUAACAGGCAUAAUAUCCAUGAUUGGAUUGAAAAUAGCAUAAGCUUCGGGUAAUUUGGCAAAGAAAAAACUAGUAGGAUAAAGAACAGAAUUAAAACAGAUACAUGUUAAACUAAGUAUAUUAGGCAUAACAAGCAUUUCAUUCUUGUAGAGUAAAUAAUUGGUUUUUUCUUGAGUUAUUUUUUUAAGGGAAAGAAGGAAAAGGCAGAUUCAAAAUCUUUUUUCUUCGGACUUUCCCAAACACAAAAUACCUCCUUGUAUUUGCACUCUCAAAUGAGAGUGGAAUAAAUUCGACUUUCAUAUAAUAUCUUAAUAGAAUUCCAUGUAAUGAUCAAUGCAUUUUUUUGAUUCUAUAUUAUCCGCAUGUGUAGAAUACUAGCAAGAGAAUAUCCCUCCUUUUUUAUGUAAUUGAAAUGGUAUUGACGAAUAACAAAUAAACAUACUAGUGUUUAUUAGUGUCGCAUAAAACCCGAAAUGGGGCGUGGCCAAGUGGUAAGGCAGCGGGUUUUGGUCCCGUUACUCGGAGGUUCGAAUCCUUCCGUCCCAGAUUGUUUCUGAUGAAACAAACGGUGAAAUCAUAUAGUAUUCCGUACGAGACAAAAGUGUAUUAAAGAGAAUAAUGAUAUCUUAUUCUUUCUCAGAAAACAUAAUAAAGUCUUAAGUCCAGUCAAAUUGACUAUCUUUAUUUUCAUGAAAAAUGGGAUCUAUCAAGCACAUUCAGGAUAUGCCUCUACUAUAAAAUCACUUAGUCAUAUUUUUUUCUUCCUUUUGGUAUUCGAGUUGAAGAAGUACGAGAAUUCUUAUCUACCAAAAACUUUCACUCUUUUCAUUGGAAUAGUUUAUUUAGUUAUUAUAGUUAAUUGUUUUUUUGUACUGAAAAAUAUAUUACUACUAGAAUUCUAAUUCUAGUAAUUAAAUUAAUUAAACUUUUUUGGAGGUUGAUAGUUUAUUUAUUGAGGAAGAGUCAAUCCUUCUUUUCUCACUUCAAGAUUGAUCAUCUCGAGCCAUCCGUUGAGGGUGGAAAUUUAAGAAUAAAUAAGUUUUACGCAAACUUGUUAGUCGUCUUUUUCAAACUAUGUUUCAUUCAUAUGAUAGAAUUUUAAUAUGGGUUUAAAUAAAUUGGAUCUUGGCGGAGGCUUCCCGGAUAAAUACUUACUUUCUUUUAUCCAUAUUGCUCCAUAGAUAGCAAGUUUUAAUUAGUAUAAAAAAACUAAACCAAUGACUAUUCAUGAUUCCAUCCAUAUUGGAUCAAUUCUCUAUACCACUUUGCAAUGAAAAGAGGAAUGUUUGUUAUGGUAAAACUUCGUUUAAAACGAUGUGGUAGAAAGCAACAUGCGACUUGAAGGACAUGAUCGAUUGUGGAUUUUUCUAUCCAUCAUUUUCCAUAGUAAUGAAAAUGCUCUUGGCUCGACAUAGCCUGUUCUAUUCGUUCCGAACCAAAUUUGCGCUUGGUUUAAGUAACAUAGUACACGAUGGAGCUCGAGAGGACAGAAUUUUUUUAUCAAGGGAAAGAAUCUAGGGUUAGUGAAAACUAAUAAAUUAGGCCAACUUUGUCAGUCUAUCCUUAAUAUAGAAAUAAAUCGAAAGGUUAAAAUAAGAAUAAAGUCCAAUAAAAGUAUUUCAGAAUCAAUCCCUCUUAUUAGAUUUCUAUAGAAGAGAUAAAUGCUUUAUCGAAGGAAAUAAGAAAAAAGGGUAUGUUGCUACUCUUUUGAAAGAAAAAAAAUAGGAAUUCCCGAAGUAAUGUCUAAACCCAAGGAUUUCACAAAUCAAAGAUAUAGGAUUCCAGAACAAGUAAACACAAUUUUCAAUUGUCUCAACAACAGAGUUGGAUCAGAAUAAGGAAUAAAAGUCAAUUCGUUCGAAAUGAGAAAAAGAAAAGAGUUUAAAGACGACUCAAAUUUUUUGGAAGGAUUUUGCCUUCGAAGUUUGUCAGGCAAAAUUAGCCCACUUGAGUCAUGAGUAUAAAUGAAAUUUGUUUUUUAUGUAAGGAAAUUAAUGCACGUCAUAGUCUAAUUUCUAUUAUUAUCGACAGAAAUUCGAAUCAUUUUCUCGAGCCGUAUGAGGAGAAAACCUCCUAUCCGUUUCUAGGGGGGCGUUGUUUAUCUACAUCUAUCCCAAUAAGCUGUCUAUCGAAUCGUUGCAAUUGAUGUUCGAUCUCGAAGAGAAGGAAGAGAUCUUCAAAAAGUAGGUUUUUAUGAUCCGAUAAAGAAUCAAACUUGUUUAAAUGUUCCAGCUAUUCUCUAUUUCCUUGAAAAGGGUGCUCAACCAACAAGAACUGUUUAUGAUAUUUUAAGGAAGGCGGAAUUCUUUAAAGAAAAAGAAAGAACUUUGAGUUAAUUGAAGAACUAAAUGAAUCAAAAAGUAGGAUAGGAGAAGAUUAUUAGUAUUCCUAGUUGUCUAAUUAUUUAGACACAAUUUACCUCUUUUUUAAUCCUAUUUGGAUUUAUAUUAUAUCGUGCCAAUUCAACAUAAGCCCCUAUUUUAUUUACUUUUUCUAUCUAAUUUGUUUUCUUACCAUUGUAUUUCCAUUGACAAAGGUCUAUUGAACAAAUAGAAUUUGUAGAUAGAUGGGUCUCUUUAUCGUCACUCCAUAUUCAAUUUUUUCGCCUACACUUCGCUCAAAUGAUAAGGGUGUUCCUCUUGCAUGUAUUCUCAUACAAUAUAAUAUAUUUUUUAAAUAAAAAUCGCUAAAAAUAAGAAGAAUUUGGCCAUCCUGAUUAGGGUCGCUCUUUUUUUAACUUUACUUUAGUGGAAUUUAACCGGACCUGUUCUAUUUGGCAUUUGAGUGUUUUUCAUGGUCGAUAAAAAAAUCUAUUGAUGUCUUGCUAGUUCAAUGUUUUGACAGAAGCGCACGGUGUAAUUCCAUUGAUUUUUGGAUUUCGAUCGUAUCUAAGAUCCUUUUUUUAUCUGGGUUGCUAACUCAAUGGUAGAGUACUCAGCUUUUAAGUGCGACUAUGAUCUUUUACACAUUUGGAUGAAACAACAAAUUCGUCCAUACUCUUGGUAGAGUCUAGAAGACCACGACUGAUCCUCAAAGGUAAUGAAUGGAAAAAAUAGCAUGUCUUAAUAAAAUCAAUCUUUUUUGAAUGGAAUCCAAAAUUACGAUUUUCUGGGUCUAAUGAAUAAAUGGAUAGAGCCUGGCUCCAAUUCUGGUAAAAUAAAAAGCAACGAGCUGAACUUCCUAAUUGGAAUGAUUCCCCACUCUAAUUAGACGUUAAAAAUAGAUUAGUGCCGGAUGCGGGGAAAGGUUGGGCUUUCCUAUGAGUGGACCCUUUAUUUUUUCUUUUUUUAGAAAUCCUAAUUAUUCUUGAUUAUGUAUUGAAUAAGGGAUGUUAUGGAUUGAAUGUGUAAAAGAAGCAGUAUAUUGAUAAAGAGGCUGUAUUCCAAAGUCAAAAGAGCGAUUGGCCUGCAAAAAUAAAAAACUUGUUCUGUUCUUUUUUUAAUUAGAACAAACAUAAACUAAUUGGGUAGAAAAGGAGCAGAAAAAGAUCUGUGGAUUAGACUCCCUUUCUUUCCAGGGUUUGUAUUAAAAAUGCAACACCCUGUUUUGACCGUAUUGCACUAUGUAUCAUCAUUCGAUAAACCGAGAAAUGCUUCUUCUCUCUGAUUCAAGUAGAAAUACAAAUGGAAAAAUUCGAAGGGUAUUCAGAAAAACAUAAAUCUCGUCAACAAUACUUUGUCUACCCACUUCUCUUUCAGGAAUAUAUUUAUGCAUUUGCCCACCAUUAUGGAUUAAAUGGUUCUGAACCUGUGGAAAUAGUUGUUAGUUGUAAUAACAAGAAAUUUAGUUCACUACUUGUGAAACGUUUAAUUAUUCGAAUGUAUCAGCAGAAUUUUUUGGAUAACUCGGGAAAUCAUCCUAACCAAGAUCGAUUAUUGGAUUACAAAAAUUAUUUUUAUUCUGAGUUUUAUUCUCAGAUUCUAUCUGAAGGGUUUGCGAUCGUUGUGGAAAUCCCAUUCUCGCUACGGGAAUUAUUUUGUCUGAAAGAAAAAGAAAUACCAAAGUUUCAGAAUUUACGCUCUAUUCAUUCAAUAUUUCCCUUUUUAGAAGACAAAUUUUUGCAUUUGGAUUAUCUAUCACAUAUAGAAAUACCCUAUCCUAUCCAUUUGGAAAUCCUGGUUCAACUCCUUCAAUACCGUAUCCAAGAUGUUCCAUCUUUGCAUUUAUUGCGAUUCUUUCUCAACUAUUAUUCGAAUUGGAAUAGUUUUAUUACUUCAAUGAAAUCCAUUUUUUAUUUUCAAAAAGAAAAUAAAAGACUAUUUCGAUUCCUAUAUAACUCUUAUGUAUCAGAAUAUGAAUUUUUGUUGUUGUUUCUUCGUAAACAAUCUUCUUGCUUACCAUUAGCAUCUUCUCGAACUUUUCUGGAAUGAAUCCACUUUUCUAGGAAGAUGGAACAUUUUGGGAUAAUGUACCCUGGUUUUUCUCGGAAAACCCUAUGGUUCUUUAUGGAUCCUCUUAUGCAUUAUGUUCGAUAUCAAGGAAAGGCAAUUCUUGCAUCAAAAGGCACUUUUUUUGAAGAAGAAAUGGAAAUGCUACCUUAUCAAUUUCUGGCAAUAUUAUUUCUGUUUUUGGACUCAGCUGCGAAGAAUCCAUAUAAACCGAUUAGCAAACUCUUGCUUCGAUUUUAUGGGGUACCUUUCAAGUGUACCAAAAAUUUCUUUGUUAGUAAGGAAUCAAAUGCUGGAGAAUUCAUUUCUAAUAGAUACUCGAAUGAAAAAAUUCGAUACCAUAGUCCCCGCUACUCUCCUCAUAGGAUACUUAUCAAAAGCUCAAUUUUGUACUGGAUCGGGGCAUCCUAUUAGUAAACCCAUUUGGACAGAUUUAUCAGAUUGGGAUAUUCUUGAUCGAUUUGGUCGGAUAUGUAGAAAUCUUUUUCAUUAUCAUAGUGGAUCUUCGAAAAAAUGGACUUUGUAUCGACUAAAGUAUAUACUUCGACUUUCAUGCGCUAGAACUUUAGCUCGGAAACAUAAAAGCACGGUACGAACUUUUAUGCAACGAUUGGGUUCGGCAUUUUUAGAAGAAUUUUUUAUGGAAGAAGAGCAAGUUUUUUCUUUGAUGUUCACCAAAACAACUCUUUUUUCUUUCCGUGGAUCAAACACUGACCGUAUUUGGUAUUUGGAUAUUAUACGUAUCAAUGACCUGGUCAACCCUCUUAAUUAAUCAUUAGACGAAAUUAAGAAACAGGAAAGGGUUGAUAAAUGAUCAAGAAAAAACUUUUCUAUUUUUCAUUCUGAAAUGUUCUUUUUAUUAUAAUAAAGAGUACGUGAAUCAACUUACUAAUUAAAAAAAUUAGUAGAACUUCCUCUUUGGAAUAGAAAUUGGCUAUUUCUACAUAGGGAAAGUCGUGUGCAAUGAAAAAUGCAAGCACGAUUUGGGGAGGGAUUUUUCUCUAUUGUAACAAGGAAGAAUUAUCUACUCCAUCCGACUAGUUCCGGGUUCGAGUCCCGGGCAACCCAUAUAGAAAAGACUCAUCAAAGUUUUUAACUUUGACUCACUUCAUUUACAAAUACAAAAUUAUUGGUUUGGUUAAUUUAGUUAUAUGGAUAGCUAAUCUUUGGGCUGACUUGGUUGACAUUGGUAUAUAGUCUAUGUUAUACUGUUAAAUAACAAGCCUUCUAUUAUCUAUAUUCUAGUUAAUACGUGUGCUUGGGAGUCCUUGCAAUUUGAAUAAACCAAGAUCUUACCAUGACUGCAAUUUUAGAGAGACGCGAAAGUACAAGCCUGUGGGGUCGCUUCUGCAACUGGAUAACUAGCACUGAAAAUCGUCUUUACAUCGGAUGGUUCGGUGUUUUGAUGAUCCCUACCUUAUUGACCGCAACUUCUGUAUUAUCGCCUUCAUCGCUUCCCCUCCAGUAGAUAUUGAUGGUAUUCGUGAGCCUGUUUCUGGUUCUUUACUUUAUGGAAACAAUAUUAUCUCUGGUGCUAUUAUCCCUACUUCUGCGGCGAUCGGAUUGCACUUUUACCCAAUUUGGGAAGCUGCAUCUGUUGAUGAGUGGUUAUACAAUGGUGGUCCUUAUGAGCUAAUUGUUCUACACUUCUUACUUGGUGUAGCUUGUUAUAUGGGUCGUGAGUGGGAACUUAGUUUCCGUCUGGGUAUGCGUCCUUGGAUUGCUGUUGCAUAUUCAGCUCCUGUUGCAGCUGCUACUGCUGUUUUCUUGAUUUACCCUAUUGGUCAAGGAAGCUUUUCUGAUGGUAUGCCUUUAGGAAUCUCUGGUACUUUCAACUUUAUGAUUGUAUUCCAGGCAGAGCACAACAUCCUUAGGCAUCCAUUCCACAUGUUAGGUGUAGCUGGUGUAUUCGGCGGUUCCCUAUUCAGUGCUAUGCAUGGUUCCUUGGUAACCUCUAGUUUGAUCAGGGAAACUACUGAAAAUGAAUCUCCUAAUGAGGGUUACAAAUUUGGUCAAGAGGAAGAAACUUAUAAUAUUGUGGCUGCUCAUGGUUAUUUUGGCCAACUAAUCUUCCAAUAUGCUAGUUUCAACAACUCUCGUUCUUUACACUUCUUCUUGGCUGCUUGGCCUGUAGUAGGAAUCUGGUUCACUGCUUUAGGUAUUAGUACUAUGGCUUUCAACCUAAAUGGUUUCAAUUUCAACCAAUCUGUAGUUGAUAGUCAAGGUCGCGUUAUUAAUACUUGGGCUGAUAUCAUCAACCGUGCUAACCUUGGUAUGGAAGUAAUGCACGAACAUAAUGCUCACAACUUCCCUCUAGACUUAGCUGCUGUUGAAGUUCCAUCUAUUAAUGGAUAAGGUUUUUCUGCUAACAUAUAAGAAUUUUUGAAGAAAGAAAAGACAGAAAUACCCAAUAUCUUGUUCUAGCAAGAUAUUGGGUAUUUCUGUCUUUAUUUUGAAUCUUUUUUUCUUCUUAAUCUUUCUAUUCAGAAUUCAGUUAACGACGAGAUUUAGUAUCCUUUCUUGCAUUUUCAUAACUCGUGAAAUGCCGAGUAGGCACGAAUUCCCCCAAUUUGCGACCUACCAUAGGAUUUGUUAUGUAAAUAGGUAUAUGUUCCUUUCCAUUAUGAAUCGUGAUUGUAUGGCCAACCAUUGUGGGUAGAAUGCUAGAUGCCCGGGACCACGUUACUAUUGUUUCUUUCUCCUCCUUCAUAUUGACCUUUUCUAUCUUUGCCAAUAAAUGAUGAGCUACAAAAGGAUUCGUUUUUUUCGUGUCACAGCUGAUUACUCCUUUUUUCCUUUUUAAAGAGUGGCAUUCUAUGUCCAAUAUCUCGAUCGAAGUACGGAGGUCAGAAUAAAUAGAAUAAUGAUCAAUGGAAAAAAGCAAAAAAUCCUUUAGCUGGAUAAGGGGCGGAUGUAGCCAAGUGGAUCAAGGCAGUGGAUUGUGAAUCCACCAUGCGCGGGUUCAAUUCCCGUCGUUCGCCCAUCGCAUUAUUGCAAAUUCCAAAAAUGCAAUUUUCCAUAUUCCUAGUUACGUAUUUACUUAUGGCGACGAAGAAUAAAACUAUCGCUAUAUUUUUUCCUUUUCCUAGUUCUUCUUCCAAGCGCAGGAUAACCCCAAGGGGUUGUGGGUUUUUUUUCUACCAAUGAGAGCUUUCCCUUCACCGCCCCCAUGGGGGUGGUCCACAGGGUUCAUAACUACCCCUCUUACUACGGGGCGUUUACCUAGCCAAUACUUAGAUCCGGCUCUACCCAAACUUUUUUGGUUCACCCCAACAUUACCCACUUGUCCGACUGUUGCUAAGCAGUUUUGGGAUACUAAACGGACCUCCCCAAAUGGUAAUCUUAAAGUGGCCGAUUUACCCUCUUUUGCAAUGAGUUUCGCUACAGCACCUGCUGCUCUAGCUAAUUUCCCACCCCUUCCACGUGUGAUUUCUAUGUUAUGCAUGGCCGUGCCUAAGGGCAUAUCGGUUGAAGUAGAUUCUUCUUUUCUCUCAAAAAACCCCUUCCCAAACUGUACAAGCUUCUUCCAAAGCAUACGGCUUUCUAGAUGUAUAUGACGAUCUCUAGACAGAUGGAUCUUAUAUGAAUCAUAUGAUGAAGUACCACAUGAGUGGAUAUAUAGGUAAGGAAUCCAAAUCUGUCGAAUCGCUCAUGUUAUGAUCUUCUACAUCCUAGGUCUCUGCGUUCCGUCAUCUGGCUUAUGUUCUUCAUGUAGCAUUCAGAUCGAAUGACUCUAUGAAAUUACGUCGAUACUUCCACAUAUUAUGGGUAACGUAGGAGACAUCCCUAUUUUCCCCCGGGGGUCUUAAUUACCACCGCUUAGCUUUCAAUUUGCCUCUGACCAUCAAAUUAAAUGUGAAUAACCCGUCCUCCUCUCUUUGAAACAAGGGGCACUUCCGGUUCUGUGCGUGCUUCAAACAAUUUUGUCUUCUCCAUAUUACCAUAUCUCUAGAGCCAAUAAUUUUCUAUGAGGAACUACUGAACUCAAUCACUUGCUGCCGUUACUCAACAGUUUUCUGUUGAGGUCUAUCCCAUAGAGGUAGUCAAAUUGGAUCAGUGAUCGAUUUCUAGGUUUCGUCGUUAACCUAAUUGGUUACUUCCAAUUACGUAAAUCAAUAGUUCAAACCGCACUCAAAGGUAGGGCAUUUCCCAUUGAUAUAGGAACUUUUGUACCAGAAACAAUAGUAUCUCCAAUUAUAGCCCCUCUGGGAUGUAAAAUAUAUCUCUUCUCACCAUCCCCAUAGUGUAUGAGACAAAUGUAUGCAUUUCGAUUAGGGUCGUAUUCUAUGGUUACGAUUCUACCAGAUAUGUCUUUUUGAUUCCGUCAAAAAUCUAUUUUACGGUAUAGGCGCUUAUGACCUCCCCCUCUAUGCCUUGCGGUAAUGAUUCCUCUGGAAUUACGACCUUUACCACAACGGUGCCGUCCAUGGAUCAAAUUAUUUCGUGGAUUGGAUUUCACUUGCCUGUCUACGGUUCCCUUGUGUGUGCUCGGGAUAGGUGUUUUGUAUAAAUGUUUCGCCGUAUUAUUAAGUAUUCUCCUUUAGUUUUUUUCUCUAUCUAGAAGUGGAAUAGAAUAACCCGGUUGAAGGGUAAUGAUCAUACGUCUGUAAUGCAUUGUAUGGCCCAGAAUAGGUCCUAUUCUUCUACCAUUUCCAGGUAGUCGAUGGCUAUUCACAGCUACCACCUUAACACCAAAGAAGAGUUCGACCCAAUGCUUUAUUUCUGUCUUAGUGAAUCCCGAUUCGACAUUAAAAGUAUAUUGAUUCUAUCCCAAUAAACGAAGACUUUUUUCUGUAAAUACUGCGUAUUGGAUUCCAUCCAUAAAUCGACUUUCCCUCCUAUGCUCUGAGUUCCAGUAUCGAUAAGAAUUCGAGUUCUUAUUGUUCUUAUGUUAUGGUAUGAAUAUACCAUACCAAUUCGUUAUGUAUGGAUGAUGGAUGAGAUUCCAUGGAUAGAGAGCCAGUUCCAAUAGACUUAUGGAAUGUUCCCGUUCGUGUGCAUCCAGCAGGAAUUGAACCCGCAAAUUUACCAAUUAUGAGUUGAGCGCUUUAACCAUUCAGCCAUGGAUGCUUAUCAGGGAUCAUCGUACAUCGUAAAUAACCAAUUUUCAUAUAGAAAGACAUAUCAUAGAAAAAUGAAAUCGAAAAUAUUCCGAGAUGGCAAAUAUUCAGAGAUGACUAUGAAAACACCUCUCUGGAUCCUCGAAUUGAAAGAGAGAUUGAGCGGGAUCAAGAAUCCUAAUUCUCGCUAUUUGGAAUGGAUCCAAUUCUAUUGAGUCUGACUCAUAGUGAUCGUUUCUCUUUAGCAAAGAAUGACCUUGGUUAUCAAAGGAUUGAACAACCGGGAUCCAUUUACUUAUGAUACCUAGUUGGCAUUGAUAACAAGGAUCUAAUGAAUUAUGAGUUUAAUAGAUCCUCUUUAGCAGAAAGACGUAUAUUCCUUGCUCAUUAUCAGACAAUCACUUAUUCCCAAACCUCAUGUGGGACUAAUCAUUUUCAUUUACCAUCUCAUGGAAAACCCUUUUUGUUCCGCUUAGCCCUAUCGGGUAUUUAAGUGAUAGGUUCUGUAGGAACUGGACGAUCCUAUUUGGUCAAAUACCUAACGAAAAAUUACGAUUUUCCUUUCAUUAAGGUACGAGGGCUUCUUAUUCCACAAGAACGAAAGCACCUUUUCAUUCUUUCAUAUACUAGGGGUUUUUACUUGGAAAAGACAAUGUUCCAUACUAAAGGAUUCGGGUCCAUAACCACGAGUUCCAGUGCACUAGAUCUUGUAGCACUUAGCAACAAAGCCCUAUCCAUUAGUAUUCCACAUAAGAAAUCCAUUCUAGAAAAAACUACAAUUAGAUUAGCUCUUCAUAGACAAACUUGGGGUUUGCGAGCCAAGGUAUGAUCGGCUCGGGAUCAUGGGACCCUUUUCUAUCAGAUAGGAGGGGCUCUUGUACAAAAUAGACUUACUAAGUAAUAACCCCAUAGAAUCUAUCUAUAUAAAGAUAAAGAGGCAAUCAUGUCAGGAAGCGGGUUUUUCUUUGGCCAAAAGGUACUUCGAACUUGGAACGAGCAUGAAGAGAUUAACGAGACUUCUUUCUCUUUUGAGUUUUUCUGGCGGACCUGUCGCGCAAGAUCAUUGGUCUUCCCCUGGAACUGAUGAAAAAAAG